rnacentral:lncRNA from 1 species
CCUUAUUGGAACAAUGCAAAUGAAAAUUAGGACCGGCAUGAACAUCUGUAUAUACGAACAAUCAUUUUAUUGUAGAGCUUUAAUAAACAUUACUGAUCUGUAGGGUGUUACUUUUCUUCAACAGAAAUUAUUCAUUUUUUAUCUUUUUUUUCUUUUUUUGCUAACUGUUCUGCUUGGGAAUUGUAGUAAGACACUGUGUUAACUUUUAAUGCAGUUACUUAGAACACUUCUCUCUCCCAAAACCUCCUGCAGGUUAGCCCUAAGAAGCUUACCAUCAUUCUCAUCACUGUAAUCCACCAGAGGAGAAGUAAACAUGGCUUUGGCCCUUGGAAAAGUGAUUUCAACUCUAACUUUGUGCUAGGACAUUAAAAAACCACAGAAAGAAAGUCAGUGCAAUUAUCUUGUAGGCAUACAGGCUGCCACCAAGUGUGGAUAAUGUCUGACCAAGCUAUAAAUCAGCAGAGCAUGACAGGCCAAUUCCCAUUAUCAAGACCCUCAUGGGGCAUCAUAGUUUCAUUGUAGUGGAAUUUUGUUAUUUUCAGAAACUUCAUAAAAUUAUCUAGUUUUCAGGACUAUAGAUGACAUAUGUGGCAUCCAGUUUUCUGGAGGUCGUAAGAAGGUAGAAAAGACCUACCGUGGAAGUAAUAAAAGAGUACAGCAAGAUUGUUGAAUAUAAGAUCAACAUAUCAGAAUCAAUUUCUUUCCUACAACCUGGCAAUAACCCAUUAGAAAAUAGAAUAAAAGAAAGGAUUUCGUUUAGAAUUGCAAUAAUAUCUAUAUAGUGUCUAAGAAUAAACCUAACAAAGAAUGCAAGAGCUUCAAGGAGAAAUGUUUAAUGAAAAGGCUAACUUUAAAUUAAUACAUUUACCAUGAUACAUUUAUAUCCAGAAUCACCCACAAAAUAUAUUUCAAUGUAUUUAAUAUAAAAGUAUAAAGAUGGACUAGAAGGGAUAUGUAUCAAACUUACGCUUUGGAAAUUAGGUUUGGAACUGAUAUUGGAAUGAUGGUCAAAGGAGACUUCAGUUUUAUCUUUGUAUUACAAAAAAACUUUUUGUUUUAUUUGCAAUCUUCAAUUUUUUAAAGAAUUCACUCAUAUAUUGUGUAUUGAAAAAGUUUAUACAUGGAAAUAUUAGAACACUAGAAGCAAAUAGAUUAGAAUACCAAUUCUGUAUGCUGAGAAUAUGGGUGACUCUUAUUUUCAUUUUCUUUUUUGUUUUAAUAUUUUCCAAAUAUUAUCUCCCAUUGUUUCAGAAAAAAAGGUGACUUGCUAUAAAUUCAGUCAGAGAAGAUUAGGGGCUAAAGCCAGAAUGUUAGGAAGAGGAGAAAAGAGCCAGGUGCAUCACGACAUUGUAAAAAAAAAAAAAAGUUAUAAAACAAAACAGAAUUUGUACUCAUCAAGCCAGGGUUGAUGGUCUUCACUAUGGAAUUCAGGCAAAUUGUUUGCCCAAUGUGGUUAAUGAUGAGUAGGGUCCCUCCAUUUCCCACCGUUGUGCUUUUCCUGUUAACUGCUAGACCGAAAAAGGGAUCCCUUCUAAAAGUUCUUUCUAACCUCCUAGAAUAUUACCUGACAUUAAGUUUGUAUGUUUACAAUUGCUUUUCUCAGUUAAAUAAUUAUGGAUAAAAACUUUGGUUCUAUUGAUUCAAUACCUAGCUGUGCUUUUUUUCCAAGUAUAAUUCUAUUUCCUUGUACUUAAUGGAAAGCAGCAUUAUUAUCCAGAGAAUAUCGAGACCAUGAUCUUCCCUACAUAGAAGAGGCAAAAACAGAGGGAGGGAGAGAAGAAAAGCACUGUAAUUCACUUGAGAAAUGGCAACAGGAGAAAAUAACUGUGGCUGGGCAACCUUGAAAAGUACAAUAUGUUAAAGGUAGUUAGCAGUAAUACUAUUUUUACUGGACAGUUCUAUGUAGGCACAGAAGCGAUUAGAAUCGGGGGAAGGCAGAGAUGAAGCCAACAGGCCCAGGGUUGCAAGGCCUCUUAUCCAGUUACUCAGAAUAUGAAUGGAGCUGUUUAUGUCUCUGCAGUGAGCAGGUUUCAUUUCUCUGAUGCAGUGUGUCUCCCGGGCUUGUUUCCUCACCUUCUUUCCCUUUUCAGCAUUGCCCUUCUCUGGUGUUCACCAUGGCUACCUCUUCAGCUGCACCUAGGACCCUGGAGACUCAUCUCAAACAUUCUACAAGCAGCAACUCCCAGCUAGUUUUAACUGUUCAACCUAGAAUGGAGACUGCAUGUAUUUAAAGAGAGGUAUCAGAGAGUUUGGCCAUUUCAUAAUGACUCAAAAGCUUUAGGUAUCACAUUUUAGAUUACUUCAGAGAAGGAGAAGCUGUGGCUAUCAUAAGUGAGUGUUAUACCUGCAUGCCCCUCUUCUGUCUGGGUGCAUUUUAAAUAUGAGAUAGAUAAAUCCUUUCUGGAAAGCACAGACAUAAAAAAAUCAAUAAUCAAUUUACUUUUACCUAUUGCUUCACAGAUAAUAAAGCAGAGGAAUUUCACUUUUCUUCAUAAGAAUUUUUCUUUUCCCCAAAUACAAAUUUUCUCUCCAAAGCUUUUCUUUUAGUUCUAUAGAAGAAGUAGGCUUCAAGUAGAUUCUAAUAUGUUGUUAAUUCCCAUGGUCCUCAUUUUAAUGAGUGGCACUGGUUCAAGGUAGAAACGUCAUAGCAGCUAGCCUGCAGCUAGGGGCCAGGGCCUAGAGUGGCCCCAGUGGAUGGGAGCAGGUCGCUAGUACUGACAGUGAACAUUCAGAACAGUGAGUUAGGAAUCUGUGAACCCAGAGGGCUUCCUAUCUAUCAGUAGUUAUGAAUCUCACAUUUAUGGAUUUGGUGCUUGUACUUCAGAGAAAAUGAAGGCUGUUUCAUAAAAGAACAUUGCUGGAAAAAUUUCAUACAGAAUAUGCUUUUCAUAAUAGCAAUGAAAAGUAGAAGUUGUGUGGAGAAUAAAAUCACCAUAUGCAGAAAAAAAGGUUUAACUGAAAAUUCAGCAGUGAAUACAAUAAUAAGCAGAAGGCAUUUUAUGGAUUUUUUUUUUUUUUCAAAAAUCAUCCAGUUCUGAUUUGGUCUUAGUCUGAGUUUGAUAACUGGUUACCAUUCCUGUGCCAUGUUGAGUAGACUCUCAUUUGCUCAACAUCAUUGGGUAAUGAUGUAUUUUGUGUGCACACAUUUCCUAGGUAAUUGAAGACUAACCUUUUAAGAAUUAAAACGUCUAAUACGGCUUAGGUAAAAAUCUUUUCACUUUAUAAUCCUUUAAAAUUGAGUCCACGGAACACUGUUCAGCAUUUUUUUGACAACCAAGAUUCAUCUUUGACAAUUUCAUGCAUUGUAUUAUGGUGAAAUGCAAUGAUGUUUCUCCUGGCAUGUUGUUUACAGUGGUUUAUGUCCAUACUAACUGAUGCUGGAUUGUUCUGUUUGAGAUCUGUUGUCUUCCUCCUCCCCACCCC